rnacentral:rRNA from 1 species
UGAGGUAACGGCCCACCAAGGCGACGAUCGGUAGCCGGACUGAGAGGUUGAACGGCCACAUUGGGACUGAGACACGGCCCAGACUCCUACGGGAGGCAGCAGUGGGGAAUAUUGCACAAUGGGGGAAACCCUGAUGCAGCGACGCCGCGUGGAGGAAGAAGGUCUUCGGAUUGUAAACUCCUGUUGUUGAGGAAGAUAAUGACGGUACUCAACAAGGAAGUGACGGCUAACUACGUGCCAGCAGCCGCGGUAAAACGUAGGUCACAAGCGUUGUCCGGAAUUACUGGGUGUAAAGGGAGCGCAGGCGGGAAGACAAGUUGGAAGUGAAAUCCAUGGGCUUAACCCAUGAACUGCUUUCAAAACUGUUUUUCUUGAGUAGUGCAGAGGUAGGCGGAAUUCCCGGUGUAGCGGUGGAAUGCGUAGAUAUCGGGAGGAACACCAGUGGCGAAGGCGGCCUACUGGGCACCAACUGACGCUGAGGCUCGAAAGUGUGGGUAGCAAACAGGAUUAGAUACCCUGGUAGUCCACACUGUAAACGAUGAUUACUAGGUGUUGGAGGAUUGACCCCUUCAGUGCCGCAGUUAACACAAUAAGUAAUCCACCUGGGGAGUACGACCGCAAGGUUGAAACUCAAAGGAAUUGACGGGGGCCCGCACAAGCAGUGGAGUAUGUGGUUUAAUUCGACGCAACGCGAAGAACCUUACCAAGUCUUGACAUCCGUUGACCGCUGUAGAAAUACAGUUUUCCUUCGGGACAGCGAGACAGGUGGUGCAUGGUUGUCGUCAGCUCGUGUCGUGAGAUGUUGGGUUAAGUCCCGCAACGAGCGCAACCCUUAUGGUCAGUUACUACGCAAGAGGACUCUGGCCAGACUGCCGUUGACAAAACGGAGGAAGGUGGGGAUGACGUCAAAUCAUCAUGCCCUUUAUGACUUGGGCUACACACGUACUACAAUGGCGUUAAACAAAGAGAAGCAAGACCGCGAGGUGGAGCAAAACUCAGAAACAACGUCCCAGUUCGGACUGCAGGCUGCAACUCGCCUGCACGAAGUCGGAAUUGCUAGUAAUCGUGGAUCAGCAUGCCACGGUGAAUACGUUCCCGGGCCUUGUACACACCGCCCGUCACACCAUGAGAGCCGGGGGGACCCGAAGUCGGUAGUCUAACCGCAAGGAGGACGCCGCCGAAGGUAAAACUGGUGAUUGGGGUGAAGUCGAAACAUGGUAGCCGUAGGAGAACCUGCGGCUG